UACGUAGGGUGCAAGCGUUAAUCGGAAUUACUGGGCGUAAAGCGUGCGCAGGCGGCUAUGCAAGACAGAUGUGAAAUCCCCGGGCUUAACCUGGGAAUGGCAUUUGGGACUGCAAGGCUCGAGUGCGGCAGAGGAGACUGGAAUUCCUGGUGUAGCAGUGAAAUGCGUAGAUAUCAGGAGGAACACCGAUGGCGAAGGCAGGUCUCUGGGCUGACACUGACGCUCAUGCACGAAAGCGUGGGGAGCAAACAGG
rnacentral:rRNA from 1 species